GAUUGGACCGAUAUAUUCCAUAUUCUACCAGAACUUGGGUUAAUAAAAAUAUUGUGAUUUGAAGACAAUCGCACUGUUACAUCGCUUUUUAUAAGAGUCGUAGUUAUUCAAACUUUUGACCUUAAUGGAGUGGCCCGAUUGACCGUCAAUUGACCGUCACCGAAUGUGAAAUAAAAUAUUCGCCUGGCCCGCCUUUUAAUACUGUACUGUUACCGGCUUGUCGAUACCACAUGUCAUGCAGCUCUAAGCUCAUGCAGCUCUAAUCAAGAACGAAAGUUAGAGGUUCGAAGGCGAUCAGAUACCGCCCUAGUUCUAACCAUAAACGAUGCCAGCUANCAAUUGGGUGUAGCUACUAUCAUGGCUCUCUCAUUCGCUUCCCGGGAAACCAAAGCUUUUGGGCUCCGGGGGAAGUAUGGUUGCAAAGCUGGUUCGUGGAGUUAUUUGUCUGGUUAAUUCCGAUAACGAACGAGACUCAACUAUAUUAAAUAGAUGCUUUCAGGAUUUUGGUGUAGAACCUUUUAUAGCCUUCAUCUGCGACAGCAGUAAAAUGCGUUAGUGGUUAAAUGUGCUUAUAGAAGUGGAGCCGUACCUGUUGGUUUGUCCCAUUAUAAGGACACUAGCUUCUUAAAUGGACAAAUUGCGUCUAGCAAUAAUGAGAUUGAGCAAUAACAGGUCUGUGAUGCCCUUAGAUGCUACAAUGAAAGUAUCAACGUGUAUUUCCUAGACCGAGAGGUCCGGGUAAACCGCUGAACCACUUUCAUGCUUGGGAUUGUGAACUGGAACUGUUCACAUGAACUUAGAAUUCCCAGUAAGUGUGAGUCAUUAACUCGCAUUGAUUACGUCCCUGCCCUUUGUACACACCGCCCGUCGCCCCUUAUUUUAGUUAUUGAGAUGAUGAAAUGCGAUCCAGCUACCUUGGGUUUUGUAGUGCGAUGUGUUCACUU
rnacentral:ncRNA from 1 species